GACGAACGCUGGCGGCGUGCCUAAUACAUGCAAGUCGAACGCAGUGGGGACGGGUGCGUAACACGUGGGUAACCUCCCAUCAGAGGGGAUAACACUUGGAAACAGGUGCUAAACCGAUAUUGAUGUAUGGACCCGCGGUGCAUUAGCUAGUUGGUGAGGUAACGGCUCACCAAGGCCACGAUGCAUAUGCGACCUGAAAGGGUGAUCGGACACACUGGGACUGAGACACGGCCCAGACUCCUACGGGAGGCAGCAGUAGGGAAGCUUCGGCAAUGGACGAAAGUAUGACCGAGCAACAACGCGUGAGUGAAGAAGGUUUUCGGAUCGUAAAACUCUGUUGUUAGAUAAGCGGUAUCUAACCAGAAAGCCACGGGUAAGUACGUGCCAGCAGCCGCGGUAAUUC
rnacentral:rRNA from 1 species